GGGCUGCCGAAGGUCUCCUAGCCUUCGGGCCGGUGCCCGCCGAUCCUCCGGGAGCCGGGUCCGCGAUCUCCUGCGCCCGCCCUGGGCUCGGGAAAGCGCACAGCGCACUACUUGUCGCGGAGGGAUCCGGCCACCGAGUUACCUGUCCUCCACUCGGAGCUGACCUCGGCCCAAGGGCCCGCAAGUCCGCCCCACGGAGAAGUAAUACAGGUUCGGAUCCGCGCCGCCGACCUCACAAUGGCGCGGGCGUCCAGCCACUGUCACGCAGCAUCCCGUGCGAUUAUUCUCCCGCUUCACUGCUUAGGGGACCGCGGCGGGGCCCUUCUCCCUCUCGCUCAUUCAGAAGAUGAGAACGUCCCCGCACCACACAACGGUGCUGUUUUAACAAUGCCCAACUCUGCUUUUCCAAACCGCACACACUUAAAGGUGACAUAGCCACAGACGCUGGGUUGGAAAACUACGUUGGAAUUCUGCACUAAUUAUUUGAAAGCUUUCUUACAGUACUACAGCGAAACGACAGGUUAUAAACCUUUCAUUUUCGUUCGAACACCAUACUCUUUAACCAAUGGAUAUUUUGUGAACACUUCUAUUCAGUAUCUCUAGAUUUUUUUUAAAAACCAAAUGUAAAGACAUUACCAAAUGAGUGGCUCAUCAGUGAAAUAAUUUUGUUUUGCCUUUAGAAUUUAGCCUUUUUGGAAGGCACAUUAUUUGCGAUAUACACAGAUAUAAAUUUUGUACAUUUAAAAUAGCCCGUAUAUCCUUUGUGUCGUCCACUCUGGAGAUUCUUUAACUUCUAUUAAUUUUAAAUUUGGUUAAAAAAUAGUGCUUAAAUUAAACAUAAAAACAAUUACCAUUUACAUUUGAAGAAUGCUUUUUCAUGUUCAUUACCAUGUAACAUUACUAGGAACCCGGAAGUCCAACCUUGCAAAAAAUUAAAAUUCAACAAUACAGGCCUUUAUUGUGAGGUUAUUAUCUUUUCAUUAUAACUCAUUUUUUACAGACAGCUAAUUUUCCAGAGGGAAUUACUGCUCCUACCUUUAGUCAAUUUGGUUAAGAAUUCUCUGCCUUUAAACAUAUAAAAGUUUGUAUAUGAUUUUAUUUUUCUGUGGGAGCAUGGGGGUUAGGUGACAACUUGUGGGCUGUUUUUACCUAGGAAUGGAAUGCAUUCCCAUCCUGUGACAGGCAGGGUAUUAUGUAGCCUUAGAUAGCCUGGAACUCACUCUGUAGACCAGACUGACUGAAAUUUCUGACAUUCCUUUGCCCCUCUCUUCCUGGGAUUAAAGGUGUACAACACUACCACCAGCAUUAAAAAUUGUCUUUAUA
rnacentral:lncRNA from 1 species